rnacentral:tRNA from 1 species
GGGGUCGUAGUGUAGCUUGGCUAGCACGGUGGGCUCCAGCGGAUGUUGUGGGUCUACUGAUACAAGAUGAUGACCUGCUGGAGCGGUGCUCCGGAGAGACCCGCAAACCCGGGUUCAAAUCCUGGCGACCCCA